rnacentral:rRNA from 1 species
UACGGAGGGUGCAAGCGUUAUCCGGAUUUACUGGGUUUAAAGGGUGCGUAGGCGGACAGGUAAGUCCGUGGUGAAAUCUCUGAGCUUAACUCAGAAACUGCCAUGGAUACUAUUUGUCUUGAAUACUGUGGAGGUAAGCGGAAUAUGUCAUGUAGCGGUGAAAUGCUUAGAUAUGACAUGGAACACCAAUUGCGAAGGCAGCUAACGAAACUAUCACUGACACUGAUGCACGAAAGCGUGGGGAGCAAACAGG